AACCGUCUGCACCCCAGGUGCCUCCUUCUUCCAGCUAAAGCACAGCAGUGUGGGUUGUUUUGCAGCCCCACAGCCGGAGCUGGGCUGGACACCAGGCAAUGCCUGCCGGUCGCCAUCUUGCACCUCGCCCCAGGAGCUUCUCCCCCAUCGCGCUGCAGUUGCAUAACACACGUGACCCGUGAAAAAGCCGGGCGACUCCAAGCAGCCAGCAAGAGGGACAGUUACAAAACCAGGCAGCUCUGAAGCCACGUCUCCACUUGCAUUGUUUCUGCCUUGGCCUCUCAAGACUUUGGGCGUGGAUGGAGAGGAAGGUAAGAAAGAGCAAGGAAGACAAGAAGACUCCUGAAGUCAGAAAUGGGAACACAAGGUCAGAUGGGAGAUAGCCGGGCCGCCAGUCAGGUGUUUCCUCACAAAACCUCCACCCUCUCGUGGGCAAACGGGACUUCAAGGCCACCGUCAAGGGAGGGAGACGGGGAGCGGCUGAGGCUGCGGGCCUGUUGCUCGGGUUACUCGAUCCUUGCUCUUGAAUGACGCUCUUCAGCCUCACAACAGAGCCCGGCCCAGACUCCACGCAGCCCACCUGCCUGGCUCCGGGCCAGCCCCUCCCAGCAGGGCUCGGAUCUCCUGCUCCUGCCCGGCCUCUCCCUCUGCAGACUGCGGCCGAUAACAUCUCCAAGGCAGCUCUGCGCUGACCUGCGCCCUCUGCGUGGUAGAUGUGAUCCUUACUCCUCUCCGCAGAGGCCUCUGGGAUGGCCUGGGGGGUGAGGAGGAGAAACUGUGGGUGUCAGGUGAGUGGGUCCCAGAGUCACAGUCAAGGAACUGCGCCGAGCCCCGGAUCCUGAGGGCUCACAGUAGGCCGGGCUGUGCUGUGUUGCGAUCUCAGAAUCCCGGAGACUGGGACAUGUAGAAAGAAAAUCUCAUAGAAGUUCUGGAAUCUGGGAGGUCUGAAGUCAGGGGCCUCGCUGGGGAGGGUGCCCCUGCUGUGACUCCCUGGGAAGCCCCAGGGCACUGUGGGUGUCAUGUGGUGAGGGGAGCGUACAGCAGACAGGCUCCUGCGACAGCCUCCAAGUCAUUAACACAUGACCCCCUGACCUCACCACCUUAGACCCCCUGGGGCCCUCCUACAGCCUCACAGUGCGGGUACAUGCAGACCACGGCGUGGUGCCACCACAGACCUGUCAGGGCAGAACUCAAGUGCUGCUCCUCAUAAAGCCCCUUCCUGCCCCCAAAGCCACCAGCAAGGUGAAACAAAGCUGACAAAAAAAUGCAUGUCCUCAUGGAAUUUCUAGUUCAGAAGAAGAGAACAAGCUACACAAAGGAGGAAAACAACAAAUUGUCCACAAAAUGUGCAGUGCACACUGCUUUGUGCUCCCUACACGCCCUGCCCAACAGCACCACUGCCUUUCUUCUUGCUUCUGGACAUCUGGGCUCUGCCUGAGCACUGUACAGUGAGCACACGGCAGCAUGAUGCCUGGCAGACAGAAGAGCUACUUCCGAGAUUUGUUCGAACCUAUGAAUGUGUAAUGCGAGAUCUCGUUGAUUGUAUCUCUGCACGUUCCCAGUGUGAAUGUUGGAACCGAACUCACGACCUUGCAUUUGCCAGGCAGGUGCUGU